CCCAUCCCCGAAGUGCAGCGUUAGGAGGGUUCAGCCAUCACAACCCCUCUGGUGGGGACGGCUUUGGGGGGCUCACACCACCACGUGCUGGGGCAGGGGGGUGUCAUCUGGGUGGUCAGCAGGGGGGCAGGGCCUGGGCCGGGCCGUGCUGGUGGGGGGUGAGGAUGCGGCGUGGACCGGCACCGAGCUGCUCUCAUCUUCAACUUCCUUCCCAGCACCGAGCCCAUUUCCUCUGGUGUCACGUGCACCGUGUGGGGCCGUGGCAGCCCCGGGAGCCUGGCACCGCACUGCGCCCCACAGCUUCGUGGGCAGCCCCACACCAGCAGCUCCCGGACCCCCCGAGGAUGGAGCCGGCCAAGGUCCCCCCCAGCAAGAGGAUGGCUCCUGCUCCCCCCGUCCCUGCCAAGGCCAAACCGGCCCCCACCCUGGCCAGCAAGUAAGACACACGUGGCCCUGUCAGGGCACCUGGGGCCACUGUGAUGCCCCCAGCACCGUGGCCCUGCCCAUGUCCAUGCCUUGUCCCCAGAUGGGAGCUCCCCUCUGGGAGGGUUGAGCAUGGCCCGGCUCUGCCCUUUGACCACCUCUGCUGCCCCCCCAGACCUGGUGGCCCCCCACCCGGUGCCUCGGCCGACGCGGAGCUGGGCAGAGCCAGAGACACAGGUGGGUGCUGGGUGCAGGCACCGGGCGCUGCAGCCGCCGUGGGGCCGUGCCCUCUGCCGGCACCGGGCGCUGACGCUCUCUCUUUGGCAGAUGGUGACGGCUUCAACGUGGUGCCGGUCACCACGGCCAGGCUGAGCCACCCCACGGCCACACGCCCCCGGGUGCCGGGCCAGCGGCCGCCCAGCCUCGCCCUGGGGAGCGUGGGGGGUCCCUGCGGGGGGGAGCAGCCCUGGGGGCUCGGUGCCCCUCUCCCCGGCGCGGGCCAGGCUCCUGGCCCACCGUGGAGCACGGAGGUUCUGGUGGCACCGCGGGCAGGGGAGACGCUGGCCCUGGAGGACCUGAAGGCUGAGGUCCGGUCCCUGCACAUCCUCGUGGACCUGAUGCGAGUCCAGCACCUGCGGGACCUGGAGGAGAUGCGGCUGGAGAUGUGCCAGGAGCGAGCCAAGCGCCAGGCGCUGCAGGCGGAGAUCGAGCGGGUGAGGAAGGCGCUGCCCUGCUAACAGCGGCGGUGCCCACCCCUCCGGGCUGGUGGGUGGCACUUGGUGCUGGUGCUGUGCCCUGUGCCCCCCCCCAGCCCAGUUCUGCACCCAUUGGGCAGGAACCCUCACCCCCACACCCGGGCUUCGUGGUGUGGUGCAGACCCCAAGGGGGCACCCACCCUGGGCUUAUAGAUAUUGUUUAAAAUAAACUAUUUUGGGUACAGAGCGCUGCUGGGCUG
rnacentral:lncRNA from 1 species